rnacentral:rRNA from 1 species
UACGGAGGGUGCGAGCGUUGUUCGGAAUCAUUGGGCGUAAAGGGCGUGUAGGUGGUCUGUUAAGUCAUGUGUGAAAGCCCUCAGCUUAACUGGGGAAGUGCGCAUGAAACUGACAGGCUAGAGUACCGAAGAGGAAGGUGGAAUUCCCGGUGUAGCGGUGAAAUGCGUAGAUAUCGAGAGGAACACCUGCGGCGAAGGCGGGUUGCUGGGCUGAUACUGACGCUGAUGCGCGAAAGCCAGGGGAGCGAACGGG